UCUUAAUGACAAAAACAGAAAGAAGCACAUUGACUAUUAAAGCCUAUUCUUUCAAAUACAUGUGUAAAGUAUCCUUCACACUGCGUUUUAGAGGUGAAACGUGAACUUACUCUGCUUGCCUAUUCGUAUAAAAACUAGACCUCAAAAGGUACUCAAGUAUGUAAUAGUUAAAGCCAGUUCAUCAGUUCUUUAAAUGUGUUAAACCAAAAAUGUUACUCGUUUUUAAACAUUAAAAAAAUUCAACCAACCAUUUGUCAUAUUGCUAAGCAUCACUUUUUAGAUAAAGGAUUAUUUGAAGUUAGAUAAACAUUUCCAGACAGUUUGUUCAAGGGCAUCUAAAAUCUCUUUUGGUAGAAACGGUUUACCAGUAUCAUCAAGAGUCUGCCUAUGUGGUUAAGAUAUUUUCAUAUGUAUUUGUUAAGGGUGAUAUUUAUAGCCUUGGAACUAGUACACAUAGCUGAAGAGUCCCAUCUGUGAAAGAACCUGGGAAGGCCAUACAUUGAGGAGCGCAGUGCUCACUGCGUGCUUGAAAGACAGGCACUUUUGCCAAAUGUGCUCUUCUUUCUUUAUGAUAAAAUUCUGGAAAUAGAGUUAUUGAAUCCAUUUUCACAUUCGGAAUUUCUCUCUCCUUGCAGAAAUUGUCUUGUGCUCUGGGUAGGGAUUAAGUAACAUGCCAUGUCUUCAAUUACCUGACUAUUUGGAGUACAAAAUACAAUUAGAUUUGUACUUACUGUCUGAAUAGCCUGUACUUUCCAACUAAAUAUCCCAUAGAUGAGACUGAGUGUGAGCCACCACGCCCAGCCAGUUGGAGUAGUUCUUUAGUCCAAACCUCAUGGUGACUUGUGUUCAGAUCACACCCAUCACUGGCUAGGGUAUUAACUUAGCAAAUUUAUCUCCUGAUUUCUACAUGUGAGUGAGGUAAUGAUUUUACAGGCCUGAACAAGAUGCAAUGAUGCACUGAAAUAAAGCCUCGCUGACUGACCUCUUACCACCAGUGUGGUCCCUCCUCCUGUCUGUUUAGCUCUCGCUUCCGGCACACUGGGGAAUGCUAUUCCACAGAUGUAAAUUGCACUGUCAUUUGAAGUCACUCUGUUUACAGUGAGGGAAACUUGGUUUUCUUUGAGGGCCUCCCUCACUGUGAACUUGUCUGCCUCACUUUUGCACCCGUCCAAGCACAGGUUCUCAGGCUGGUGAGCACCGUAGCGAAACCACAGGCAUGUUGGUUGCUCAGAAGGGCAUCCGGUUGCGGAGAAGGUACACUUUAUGGUGACGGCCUCAUGAGUGUAGUCCACUUCUAGGUACCACGGUUGUGUGACA